GACACGGUCCAAACUCCUACGGGAGGCAGCAGUGGGGAAUAUUGCACAAUGGGCGAAAGCCUGAUGCAGCAACGCCGCGUGAACGAUGAAGGUCUUCGGAUCGUAAAGUUCUGUUGCAGGGGAAGAUAAUGACGGUACCCUGUGAGGAAGCCCCGGCUAACUACGUGCCAGCAGCCGCGGUAAUACGUAGGGGGCUAGCGUUAUCCGGAUUUACUGGGCGUAAAGGGUGCGUAGGUGGUCCUUCAAGUCGGUGGUUAAAGGCUACGGCUCAACCGUAGUAAGCCGCCGAAACUGGAGGACUUGAGUGCAGGAGAGGAAAGUGGAAUUCCCAGUGUAGCGGUGAAAUGCGUAGAUAUUGGGAGGAACACCAGUAGCGAAGGCGGCUUUCUGGACUGCAACUGACACUGAGGCACGAAAGCGUGGGUAGCAAACAGGAUUAGAUACCCUGGUAGUCCACGCUGUAAACGAUGAGUACUAGGUGUCGGGGGUUACCCCCCUCGGUGCCGCAGCUAACGCAUUAAGUACUCCGCCUGGGGAGUACGCACGCAAGUGUGAAACUCAAAGGAAUUGACGGGGACCCGCACAAGUAGCGGAGCAUGUGGUUUAAUUCGAAGCAACGCGAAGAACCUUACCUAAGCUUGACAUCCCUCGGACAGGUGUUUAAUCACACCCUUCCUUCGGGACUGAGGUGACAGGUGGUGCAUGGUUGUCGUCAGCUCGUGUCGUGAGAUGUUGGGUUAAGUCCCGCAACGAGCGCAACCCUUGUCUUUAGUUGCCAGCAUUCAGUUGGGCACUCUAGAGAGACUGCCAGGGAUAACCUGGAGGAAGGUGGGGAUGACGUCAAAUCAUCAUGCCCCUUAUGCUUAGGGCUACACACGUGCUACAAUGGGUGGUACAGAGGGUUGCCAAACCGUGAGGUGGAGCCAAUCCCUUAAAGCCAUUCUCAGUUCGGAUUGUAGGCUGAAACUCGCCUACAUGAAGCUGGAGUUACUAGUAAUCGCAGAUCAGAAUGCUGCGGUGAAUGCGUUCCCGGGUCUUGUACACACCGCCCGUCACACCACGGGAGUCGGAAACACCCGAAGCCGAUUAUCCAACCGCAAGGAGGAAGUCGUCGAAGGUGGCGUCGAUAACUGGGGUGAAGUCGUAACAAGGUAGCCGUAUCGGAAGGUGCGGCUG
rnacentral:rRNA from 1 species